GAUGAACGCUGGCGGCGUGCCUAAUACAUGCAAGUCGAGCGAACAGACGAGGAGCUUGCUCCUCUGACGUUAGCGGCGGACGGGUGAGUAACACGUGGAUAACCUACCUAUAAGACUGGGAUAACUUCGGGAAACCGGAGCUAAUACCGGAUAAUAUAUUGAACCGCAUGGUUCAAUAGUGAAAGACGGUUUUGCUGUCACUUAUAGAUGGAUCCGCGCCGCAUUAGCUAGUUGGUAAGGUAACGGAUUACCAAGGCGACGAUGCGUAGCCGACCUGAGAGGGUGAUCGGCCACACUGGAACUGAGACACGGUCCAGACUCCUACGGGAGGCAGCAGUAGGGAAUCUUCCGCAAUGGGCGAAAGCCUGACGGAGCAACGCCGCGUGAGUGAUGAAGGUCUUCGGAUCGUAAAACUCUGUUAUUAGGGAAGAACAAAUGUGUAAGUAACUAUGCACGUCUUGACGGUACCUAAUCAGAAAGCCACGGCUAACUACGUG
rnacentral:rRNA from 1 species